AUGCGGCGGGAUCCCGAAAUCCACGGGAGGCGGAAAUCCCGGGAAUUCCGGCCCCCAAUUCUGGUGGGAUCUCGGAAUUCCAUCCCGGAAUUCCACAGCGUCCCAAACCCGGCCAGCGCCGCGGGGAUUCCCGAAAUUCCUGGGGAUCCCAAAAAUUCCUGGGGAUCCCAAAAAUCCAAAGGGAUCCCAGAAAUCCGGUGGGAUCGCAGCUCCUGCUCCGGGCGCUCCCGGGUUUUAUUCCUUGAUUCCCUCUGUGGGGGAAUUCCCCUGGAAUUCCAGGAGAAUCCAGCAGGAAUUCCAGGGGGAAUCCCACCGGAAUUCCAGGGGAUUCCCAUUGGAAUUUCAGGGGGAUCCUGCAGGAAUUCCAGAGGAAUCCCAGGAAAACCUUGUUGGAGUUCCAGGGGAAUCCUGCUGGAAUUCCGGGAGAAUCCCACGGGAAUUUUGAGGGAAUUCUGGCAAAAUUUUUGUGGGGAAUCCCCCUGGAAUUGUGGGAAAAUCCCACUGGAAUUUUGGGAGAAUCUCGGUGGAAUUCCAGAGAAACCUCACUGGAAUUCCGGAGGAAUCCCGCUGGAAUUUUUGCUGGAAUUCCGCGCGCUCCCGGCUCGGUUCUCCCGGAUUUUCCGGUUCCACUCCGGGAUUUAUUCCCAGAUUUUGGGAUUGGGAACGGAGCUCGGGAUUUUUACACGGGAGAAUGACCCGGAUCCCAGACGGGAACGAGUUGGAAUUCCCGACGGGAUCCGGAUCCGGAUUCCGGACGGGAACGGCGCGGUCCCGCGUGGGGACGCCGGAAUUCCAUGCGGGAAUGCCGAGAUCCAGCGGGAACGUGUCGGAAUUCCAUGUGGGAAUGUCGGAAUUCCGUGCCGGAAUGUCGGGAUUUCGUGCGGGAACCCCGGAAUUCCGCGUGGAAAUGUCGGGAUCCCGCGCGGGAAGGUCAAAAUUCCACGUGGGAAUGCGGGGAUCCAGCGGGAAUGUGUCGGAAUUCCACGCGGGAAUGUCGGGAUCCAAUGGGAAUAUCAAGAUCCCGCGUGGGAACACCGGAAUUCCAGGCAGGAAUGUCGGGAUCUUGUGUGGGAACGACGGAAUUCCACAUGGGAAGGUUGGAAUUCCACAUGGGAAGGUUGGAAUUCCGCCUGGGAAGGUUGGAAUUCCGCGUGGGAAGGUCGGAAUUCCACAUGGGAAGGUUGGAAUUCCGCGUGGGAAUGUUGGGAUCGGGCAGGAAUGUGUCGGAAUUCCAGGUGGGAAUGUUCAGAUCCCGUGUGGCAACAUCAGAAUUCCAUCUGGGAACGUCGGGAUCCUGUGGGAAGGUCAGAAUUCCAUCUGGGAAUGUCGGGAUCCAGCGUGGGAACAUCAGAAUUCCAUCUGGGAAUGUUGGGAUCCUGUGGGAACGUCAGAAUUCCAUCUGGGAAUGUUGGGAUCCGGCGUGGGAACGUCGGGAUCCCGUGCGAGAACGUCGAAAUUCCACGUGGGAAUGUGGGGAUCCGGCGGGAAUCUGUCGGAAUCCCGCGUGGGAACGUCGGGAUCCAGCGGCAACGCGUCGGAAUUCCACGUGGGAACGUCGGGAUCCAAUGGGAAUAUCAAGAUCCCGCGGGGGAACAUCGGAAUUCCACGUGGGAAUGUCGGGAUCUGGUGGGAAUGCUGGGAUCCCGUGUGGGAGUGUCGGGACUUUGUGGGAACAUCAGAAUUCCAUGCGGGAAUGUUGGGAUCCGGCGGGAACAUCAGGGUCUGGUGGGAAUGUGUCAGAAUUCCACGUGGGAAUGUCGGAUCCAAUGGGAAUAUCAAGAUCCUGCUUGGGAACAUCAGAAUUCCACGUGGGAACGUCGGGAUCCGGCGGGAAUGUCGGGAUCCGGCGGGAAUCUGUCGGGAUCCGGCGGGAAUCUGUCGGGAUCUGGCGGGAAUCUGUUGGGAUCCGGCGGGAAUGGCGGGAUCCGGCGGGAAUCUGUCGGGAUCCGGCGGGAAUCUGUCGGGAUCCGGCGGGACCCCGCGCUCUCCGGGCAGAGAAUCCCGAUAAAAUCUUGGCUCUGCCGCUUCCGGCCUGAUCCCUGA
ensembl:lncRNA